rnacentral:rRNA from 2 species
GUGCAAUGGCAUAAGCCAGCUUGACUGCGAGCGUGACGGCGCGAGCAGGUGCGAAAGCAGGUCAUAGUGAUCCGGUGGUUCUGAAUGGAAGGGCCAUCGCUCAACGGAUAAAAGGUACUCCGGGGAUAACAGGCUGAUACCGCCCAAGAGUUCAUAUCGACGGCGGUGUUUGGCACCUCGAUGUCGGCUCAUCACAUCCUGGGGCUGAAGUAGGUCCCAAGGGUAUGGCUGUUCGCCAUUUAAAGUGGUACGCGAGCUGGGUUUAGAACGUCGUGAGACAGUUCGGUCCCUAUCUGCCGUGGGCGCUGGAGAACUGAGGGGGGCUGCUCCUAGUACGAGAGGACCGGAGUGGACGCAUCACUGGUGUUCGGGUUGUCAUGCCAAUGGCACUGCCCGGUAGCUAAAUGCGGAAGAGAUAAGUGCUGAAAGCAUCUAAGCACGAAACUUGC